UGCCUGUCUCUGACCCAAUCACUCAGACCGGAGCCUGGCGUUCUGUGACUGGCCAGGCCUGGGUCAUGUGCCCAGGGAGACCGCGACCGUCUUGGCUACGGCUCCCUAGGAGGGCCAUCCCCGGAACCUUCACGGGUCUGGUCCUCCUGGGCCGCGUCUCGGUAGCCUCCGAACUGAGGCCUCCGGCCCAAGGAGACCAGUGGGGCACGUGAGCUGAAGUCCGCGUAACCUGCGGCCGCAGGCGCCCGGCCCUGGCCCUGCCCCUGCCCGUCGCCAGAACCCUCCCGGAGCGCGCGCCGAGCCUCGGCGCCUGGCUGCGACGUCCUGGCGGGUGGGGGCUGGCGUGCGAGUGCGGGAGCCCGACUUGGUAGCCAGCCUCGCGGGCUUGGCGCGCGUGGCCCCGAGCUCUAGCGCACUUGCCCUGGUGGAGUGUUUGUAGGUGCCAGGUUCAGGGACCGCGGAGCGCACAGCCUUAACCUCGCGUCGCGAGUUUAGUGCAGGCGACAGCUCCGAGCAUCACGCCCGGGAACGUUCUCCAAGCCCUUCCCGCUCUGCCCACCUGCAGCCCCAGCAGCGUCACUGCUCUGCCGUCCACGAGUUUUGCCUGUCCCGGGAGCGCAUAUAGAUAGCACUGUAAGAAAUCCGGGAAACGGGUUCCCUCCCCGGAAGGAUGACGCCGCCGUCGUAGAGCAGGCUGUGUCUGGGCUGCUGCUUGCUGAGCGCACCGAGCCCAAGUCUUGCAUUUGCUGCCCCUGGUGGCAGAGAAGAAAAGCUCUGGCGGUAGUAUAGGGGGAACAGACGCCUUCAGAUGACAAGGUCCUCGACGAACACCUCUGACUCAGCAUCAGGAAGUGAAUAGCUUGCUUCUCACCCAGCACUUGGACCAUCUCACAUGAACUCAGUACUCUUUCAUCUUUUAUGACCCCUGCACUUCCAAAUUGAGGGAUACAAAUACAAAGAGGUUUUCUGUUUAAAUUCUUAUUAAAGUUCCUGAUAAAGGUU